UACAAUUGUACAUCUUAAAUGUGCUACUCGUCGUGAGUAAAUAUUACGAAACACCCGAAAUAAAAAGUGAGCAAAAAAAACCCCGCCUUUUUUCUGCACCGGGUGCCUAGCCUUCUUGAUCCUCGAGCAACAUGCUUGAGAAGCCUACUCACGCAAUGUCAUAUAGACUGAACAAAAUCUAUUAAAUAUAAUCAUAAUAUGUAAAAAUUGAAGGAAAAAUCAUCCAAAAAGGGCAAAAAUUCCACAACCCAAACACAAUUGAAUUGGGUUUUUUUCCCGUUCAUUAAUCAUCUUGCACAAUUGAAGUGGGGUUUUUAUCCACUCAUUUCAUCAUCUUGCAAUGAUUUCACUUCCCGUUUUUGUUUGAUUGUUAUUGGACUCUUGGAAAUGUUUUGUGGUUGCAGCGUGCAACUGCUAAAUUCUUUCAAAUACAUUGACUCCUUUAUUAAGACUGGCUUUCUUCGACGAUGAUUGGAACGAUUCCAACCAAAGCUCUUGGGGAUGGAAAGGUAUCAAAUGGGGUUUGAAUCUGUUGAAAAAGGGAUGCUCGUGGACUAUAGGAGAUGGUUGCAAAGCGAAAAUUCACCAUCCCUGGGUGCGGGGCAAACCUCCCAACUGUUUUUUUUUGUCUAACAACAGCGCGGCAGGACAUGUCCGGGAUCUUACUAAUGAUGAUGAUACCUGGAACCAAGAGAAACUGGAGGCUAUGUUUGCCAUUGACACCAUUGCAGAAAUUAACUCUAUUUAUCCCCUUGAAAAAGGAAAUUGCGACACCAUUAGCUGGAAUUUUGAUAAAAAAAAUGGGGAGUACUCUACAAAAGUCGUUAUACUGAUAAUGCCAGCAGAGAAAUCAGGGCUCCUCCAUCGGUUGAUAUUUCAAGUGGCACUAGCAAAGAUCAAAUUAUUUUCAAAACUCUGGAACAGGUGCUUAAUGUUGCUAUCAGGGAGGCCUGGCUACAUCUGAAAAUCUUGGUCCCAGAUCUGAAGACGAGAGAGAUGCUGCUGGAUUGAGUUUCUUACAUUGAGAAGCGGCAGAGGUUGGAACGAUCAGAAAAAUUGCUAGAGGAAAACUUGAUCUAUCCUCUGAACUCUGAAGUGUCUUCAUUCUUGCUGCGAUUCUCGACUCCGGUGCCUUAUGUCCUUCUGUGCACAUACGAGACUGGUUGCAGCUGAUUUCUUCACACGCCUCAAACAAAAGGCCAAUAUGAGAGGAUAUGAAAGGUAUGUGUGAACAAAGGCAUACAUUGUUUCAGCCUUUUGUCUUAAAUUAAGUAUUUCUCAUCAGUUGCAUAUUUGAUUUAUUGGUGAGUUUUUUUUAGAGGCAACCAAGGAGGUAUCUGUCACAGUAGCGCGCUUGUAAGACUCUUAUAGUAUUAUUCUGUAUGAAAUAACCAUUUAUAUCAGGAUUCGAGAAUUGUUAUUCACAUUGACCACUAUAAUGUUGCAUCAAACUCUAAUUUUUUUACAUAAAACUGCUUACACUAGUAAAUUUUCCUGUUUGUAAUGGACUAGCGGUCAUCCGACAUGUCAAAUACUGAUUGUAAAAGCGGCAUUUGAGGCUGGAAUAGAUAGAGAUUUCAAAGCCUCUAGCUUGUUGUCUCUUACAUACUUGUGAGAUUAUUGUCCAAGAUGUGGGGGUGUUAAACAACUAAAUUCACAUGAGGCAAACAACAACGUAACUGUCCAAGUUCAACCAAUAUCAAGACAAAAUCUGUGGAGGUUCCAAUGUAAGCACCCUUAACUUCAAAUGUUAUUUAUGUAUGACAAACCUUUCUUCAUUCGUUCAGGAUGGAAGUUCGGGAAGUUCCAGACUGUGUAGCCUUACCCUUAAAAACUAUUUGUACUAACAGGUUUGUUGUAGAGAACGAAGCUAGGAGCAAGAAUGAAAUGCAUGACUCCUGUACAAGGAUGAUACAAACAACUUGAGAAAAGCUCCAAAUAUUUAUCCGUAGUUGUCUCUUUCUUUCUGUCCUCUUUACCAGGCUUUAUUUCUCUGGAAAUCCUGUUUGAAGCGAUCAUACCAUGUGUCAAAUAUUGAGUUUCUGACAUUGCGAAGCCACAAUUGAGGUUUCAUUGACCCGAAAAUUGAUAGAGGUCCAGCACAUGAAACGUCGAAUAAUUCAUACUAGCGCCAAAUCUGAAGAUGUUAAGACAUGCAGGACACUAGAGAAGAUUAGCAUGGCCCCUGCGCAAGGGUGACACGCACAUUUUUGCCCCAUCUGAGAGAACAUGAAAGGGAUGUAUCAUCUUUCAAAGGUUCCAUAAAAGGGAGAAUGGUUAUAAAUGACUCUGAACAAAAUCUGCACGGCUACCUUUGUAAUGGAUGCACGCUUUUGAAGAACAGAUUUAGUGUCUUAUUACUUCCCCCAAUGUCAUACAAAUCAAUGCAAUGGAAGAACCACACUGUAAAAUAUUUACUAAGAAUGAACAGGAGCCGCGCGAACGCAGGCCCCCACUAUCACAAAUUAUGACGUACACUCUUCCUCUUGGGAAGAUGUUAGGCAGGCACCCCUCCAAAAGUGCAAUGGAGGUCACCUACUUAGGCCAUGAGCCUACAUGAUCGCUCAUUGACCCCGUCCAGGUUUUUCUUUGAUUUCUCUGCAACAUAUGUGGGUGUGGGGAUGAUAUGCUCUCAUCUUACAAAUCUAUCUAAACCAGAAGAAGAAGCCAAUAUUUCAAACUGGGGUGCAGUAGCUGGUUAUGUUGGCAUAUAUAGCUGCAAUAGCCAUCGGCGUACUUCCACAUAUCUUUCAUCAGCUAUACAAAAGUAGGGCAUAUAACAUGGCUAUACUUCCACCAAUCCCGUUAGCUAUGGCUAUACCUUUCUACCUCGAUCGGAGGCUACUUUGCUGUCGACAUGUGUGUUGGUACUUGGUAGUUUGAUACUCGAUCUUCUUGUGGCAGUACAAAAAUAAGGCUGAAGCUGAAGCUGAAGCUGAUGCUGAUGCUGAUGCUGAUGCUGAUGCUGAUGCUGAUGCUGAUGCUGAUGCUGAUGCUGAUGCUGAUGCUGAUGCAUACGCUGCCCCUGCUGUUGCGUCUGCUUUGAUUUGCGGUGAUAAUGCCAACUUCUGUACUUGCUUUGGCAGGUAUUAAUCCACCUCUCUGCCUCAAGGUCGUUACUAGACAACAACCUACCACCCUAUAACUUACCACGGUUAUAUAUGUAUGAAUGUAUGUCUAAUACAAUUACCAAGUAUUUUCUUAGCUGAUUAAUUAAUGUAUUCGUUAAAAUUUCGUAUG